rnacentral:rRNA from 1 species
UACGUAGGGUGCGAGCGUUAAUCGGAAUUACUGGGCGUAAAGGGUGCGCAGGCGGUCCUGCAAGUCAGGCGUGAAAUCCCCGGGCUUAACCUGGGAAUGGCACUUGAAACUACGGGACGUGGAGUAUGGCAGAGGGAGGUGGAAUUCCACGUGUAGCGGUGAAAUGCGUAGAGAUGUGGAGGAACACCGAUGGCGAAGGCAGCCUCCUGGGCCAAUACUGACGCUCAUGCACGAAAGCGUGGGGAGCAAACAGG